GCGGGGGUAGCCAAGCCAGGUCAAAGGCGCGAGGCUCAGAACCUCGUGGCAUAGGCCUUCGUGGGUUCAAAUCCCACCCCCCGCA
rnacentral:tRNA from 1 species